rnacentral:rRNA from 1 species
UGGGGAAUAUUGCACAAUGGGCGCAAGCCUGAUGCAGCCAUGCCGCGUGUAUGAAGAAGGCCUUCGGGUUGUAAAGUACUUUUAGCGGGGAGGAAGGUGUUGUGGUUAAUAACCGCAGCAAUUGACGUUACCCGCAGAAGAAGCACCGGCUAACUCCGUGCCAGCAGCCGCGGUAAUACGGAGGGUGCAAGCGUUAAUCGGAAUUACUGGGCGUAAAGCGCACGCAGGCGGUCUGUCAAGUCGGAUGUGAAAUCCCCGGGCUCAACCUGGGAACUGCAUUCGAAACUGGCAGGCUAGAGUCUUGUAGAGGGGGGUAGAAUUCCAGGUGUAGCGGUGAAAUGCGUAGAGAUCUGGAGGAAUACCGGUGGCGAAGGCGGCCCCCUGGACAAAGACUGACGCUCAGGUGCGAAAGCGUGGGGAGCAAACAGGAUUGGAUACCCUGGUAGUCCACGCCGUAAACGAUGUCGACUUGGAGGUUGUGCCCUUGAGGCGUGGCUUCCGGAGCUAACGCGUUAAGUCGACCGCCUGGGGAGUACGGCCGCAAGGUUA